AGCUAGGGAAUGACUAAGGUAGUCUUGAGCUAAGAUCUGAAUUAGCCCUGCCAAUGGGCGAUAUAUUUUAAAUAAAGGGCAAAAUUUUUAGAGGUUCGGUCGGGUAUGGACUGGCGGCGUGAGCAUCGACCAGCGGCCUAGUCGGCCGGGAUCGGGUCUUACAAUUAGGGUUCGAUUCGGAGAGGAGCCUGAGAAACGGCUACCACAUCCAAGGAAGGCAGCAGGCAGCGAAAUUACCCAAUCCGACACGGGGGAGGUAGUGACAAUAAAUAACAAUACCGGGCUCUUGAGUCUGGUAAUUGGAAUGAGUACAAUCUAAAUCCCUUUAACGAGGAUCCAUUGGAGGGCAAGUCUGGUGCCAGCAGCCCGCGGUAAUUCCAGCUCCAAUAGCGUAUAUUUAAGUUGUUGCAGUUAAAAAGCUCGUAGUUGAACCUUGGGAUGGGUCGCCCGGUCCGCCGGUGAGCACCGGUCGGCUUGUCUCUUCUGUCGGCGACACGCACCUGGCCUUAACUGGCGGGUGGUGCCUCGGCGCUGUUACUUUGAAGAAAUUAGAGUGCUCAAAGCAAGCCUACGCUCUGUAUACAUUAGCAUGGGAUAACAUCAUAGGAUUUCGAUCCUAUUGUGUUGGCCUUCGGGAUCGGAGUAAUGAUUAACAGGGACAGUCGGGGCAUUAAGUAUUUCAUAGUCGAGGUGAAAUUCUUGGAUUUAUGAAAGGCGAACAACCGCGAAAAGCAUUUGCCAAGGAUGUUUUCAUUAAUCAAGAACGAAAGUUGGGGCUCGAAGGCGAUCAGAUACCGUCCUAGUCUCAACCAUAAACGAUGCCGACCGGGGAUCAGCGGAUGUUGCUUUUAGGACUCGCUGGCACCUUAUGAGAAAUCAAAAGUUUUGGGUUCCGGGGAGUAUGGUCGCAAGGCUGAAACUUAAAGGAAUUGACGGAAGGGCACCACCAGGAGUGGAGCCUGCGGCUUAAUUUGACUCAACACGGGAAACUUACCAGGUCCAGACAUAGUAAGGAUUGACAGACUGAGAGCUCUUUCUUGAUUCUAUGGGUGGUGGUGCAUGGCCGUUCUUAGUUGGUGGAGCGAUUUGUCUGGUUAAUUCCGUUAACUAACGAGACCUCAGCCUGCUAACUAGCUACGUGGAGGCAUCCCUUCACGGCCGGCUUCUUAGAGGGACUAUGGCCGUUUAGGCCAAAGGAAGUUUGAGGCAAUAACAGGUCUGUGAUGCCCUUAGAUGUUCUGGGGCGCCGACGCUACACUGAUGUAUUCAACGAAGUUCACACCUUGGCCGACAGGCCCGGUAAUCUUUGAAAUUUCAUCGUGAUGGGGAUAGAUCAUUGCAAUUGUUGGUCUUCAACGAGGAAUUCCUAGUAAGCUGAAGUCAUCAGCUCGCGUUGACUACGCCCCCUGCCCUUUUGUACACACCGCCGUCGCUCCUACCGAUUGAAUGAUCCGGUGAAGUGUUCGGAUCGCUGGGCGACGCAGGUGGUUCGCCGUCUGGCGACGUCGCGAGAAGUCCACUAAACCUUAUCAUUUAGAGGAAGGAGAAGUCGUAACAAAGGUUUCCGUAGGUGAACCUCGCGGAAG
rnacentral:rRNA from 1 species